rnacentral:rRNA from 1 species
UAGGGAAUAUUCCACAAUGAGCGAAAGCUUGAUGGAGCGACACAGCGUGCAGGAUGAAGGUCUUCGGAUCGUAAACUGCUGUUAUAAGGGAAGAAACACUUUGCUAGGAAAUGAGUAAAGCUUGACGGUACCUUAUCAGAAAGCACCGGCAAACUAUGUG